CCUUCGGGGACACCGGCGGACGGCUCAGUAACACGUCGGUAACCUACCCUCGGGAGGGGGAUAACCCCGGGAAACUGGGGCUAAUCCCCCAUAGGCCUGGGGUACUGGAAGGUCCCCAGGCCAAAAGGGGCUCUGCCCGCCCGAGGAUGGGCCGGCGGCCGAUUAGGUAGUUGGUGGGGUAACGGCCCACCAAGCCGAAGAUCGGUACGGGCCAUGAGAGUGGGAGCCCGGAGAUGGACACUGAGACACGGGUCCAGGCCCUACGGGGCGCAGCAGGCGCGAAACCUCCGCAAUGCGGGCAACCGCGACGGGGGGACCCCCAGUGCCGUGGCAAAGCCACGGCUUUUCCGGAGUGUAAAAAGCUCCGGGAAUAAGGGCUGGGCAAGGCCGGUGGCAGCCGCCGCGGUAAUACCGGCGGCCCAAGUGGUGGCCGCUAUUAUUGGGCCUAAAGCGUCC
rnacentral:rRNA from 1 species